AUUGAACGCUGGCGGCNUGCCUAACACNUGCAANUCGAGCGGUAACNGGUGUAGCAAUACNUGCUGACNAGCGGCGAACGGGUGAGUAAUGCUUUGUAAUCUUCCCAGUANUGGGGAAUANCCNGUCGAAAGAUUGGCUAAUACCGCAUACGUCUGUAAAGGGAAAGCGGGGGCUCGUAAGACCUCGCGCUAUUGGAUGAGCCAAAGUCGGAUUAGCUAGUUGGUGGGGUAAUGGCCUACCAAGGCGACAAUCCGUAGCUGGUCUGAGAGGACGACCAGCCACACCGGAACUGAGACACGGUCCGAACUCCUACGGGAGGCAGCAGUGGGGAAUAUUGGACAAUGGGGGAAACCCUGAUCCAGCGACGCCGCGUGUGUGAAGAAGGCCUGCGGGUUGUAAAGCACUUUUAGUGGGGACAAAAAGCUACGGACUAAUAUUCUGUGGUCUUGAUUUAACCCAAAGAAAAAGCACCGGCUAACUCUGUGCCAGCAGCCGCGGUAAUACAGAGGGUGCGAGCGUUAAUCGGAAUUACUGGGCGUAAAGCGCGCGUAGACGGUUUUGUAAGUCAGAUGUGAAAUCCCUGGGCUCAACCUGGGAACUGCAUUUGAAACUGCAUGGCUAGAGUAUCGAAGAGGGAAGUGGAAUUUCCGGUGUAGCGGUGAAAUGCGUAGAUAUCGGAAGGAACACCAGUGGCGAAAGCGACUUCCUGGUCGAAUACUGACGUUCAUGUGCGAAAGCGUGGGGAGCAAACAGGAUUAGAUACCCUGGUAGUCCACGCCAUAAACGAUGACAACUAGAUGUUGGGAGGGUCUGCCUCUCGGUGUCGCAGCUAACGCGUUAAGUUGUCCGCCUGGGGAGUACGGCCGCAAGGUUG
rnacentral:rRNA from 1 species